rnacentral:rRNA from 1 species
UACGUAGGCAGCGAGCGUUGUUCGGAAUUACUGGGCGUAAAGGGUGUGUAGGCGGUUCUCUAAGUUUGGUGUGAAAUCUCCCGGCUUAACCGGGAGGGUGCGCCGAAAACUGGGAGACUAGAGUGCGGGAAGGGAGAGUGGAAUUCCUGGUGUAGCGGUGAAAUGCGUAGAUAUCAGGAGGAACACCGGUGGUGUAGACGGCUCUCUGGACCGUAACUGACGCUGAGACACGAAAGCGUGGGUAGCAAACAGG